GACGAACGCUGGCGGCGUGCUUAACACAUGCAAGUCGAACGGAAGGGCCCUGCUUUUGUGGGGUGCUCGAGUGGCGAACGGGUGAGUAACACGUGAGUAACCUGCCCUUGACUUUGGGAUAACUUCAGGAAACUGGGGCUAAUACCGGAUAGGAGCUCCUGCUGCAUGGUGGGGGUUGGAAAGUUUCGGCGGUUGGGGAUGGACUCGCGGCUUAUCGGCUUGUUGGUGGGGUAGUGGCUUACCAAGGCUUUGACGGGUAGCCGGCCUGAGAGGGUGACCGGCCACAUUGGGACUGAGAUACGGCCCAGACUCCUACGGGAGGCAGCAGUGGGGAAUAUUGCACAAUGGGCGGAAGCCUGAUGCAGCAACGCCGCGUGCGGGAUGACGGCCUUCGGGUUGUAAACCGCUUUCGCCUGUGACGAAGCGUGAGUGACGGUAAUGGGUAAAGAAGCACCGGCUAACUACGUG
rnacentral:rRNA from 1 species